rnacentral:rRNA from 1 species
UAACACAUGCAAGUCGAGCGGGGAACGGAUGGUAGCUUGCUACUGUUUGUUUCUAGCGGCGGACGGGUGAGUAACGCGUGAGCAACCUGCCUUUAUCAGGGGGAUAACGCAUCGAAAGAUGUGCUAAUACCGCGUAAGACCACAGCUUCACAUGGAGCGGGGGUCAAAGGAGCAAUCCGGAUAAAGAUGGGCUCGCGUCCGAUUAGCUAGUUGGUGAGAUAACAGCCCACCAAGGCGACGAUCGGUAGCCGACCUGAGAGGGUGAUCGGCCACAUUGGAACUGAGAGACGGUCCAGACUCCUACGGGAGGCAGCAGUGGGGAAUAUUGGGCAAUGGGCGAAAGCCUGACCCAGCAACGCCGCGUGAGGGAAGAAGGGUUUCGGCUCGUAAACCUCUGUCCUAUGGGACGAAGGAAGUGACGGUACCAUAGGAGGAAGCCCCGGCUAACUACGUGCCAGCAGCCGCGGUAAUACGUANGGGGCGAGCGUUGUCCGGAAUGAUUGGGCGUAAAGGGCGCGUAGGCGGCCUGCUAAGUCUGGAGUGAAAGUCCUGCUUUCAAGGUGGGAAUUGCUUUGGAUACUGGUGGGCUGGAGUGCAGGAGAGGAAAGCGGAAUUACCGGUGUA